UGGUAAUGCCGGAUGCUCCAUCACACCGCAUGGUGUGUUGGGAAAGCCUUUGCGGCAUGGGAUGGGGUCGCGUCCUAUCAGCUUGAUGGCGGGGUAACGGCCCACCAUGGCUUCGACGGGUAGCCGGCCUGAGAGGGCGACCGGCCACAUUGGGACUGAGAUACGGCCCAGACUCCUACGGGAGGCAGCAGUGGGGAAUAUUGCACAAUGGGCGCAAGCCUGAUGCAGCGACGCCGCGUGAGGGAUGGAGGCCUUCGGGUUGUAAACCUCUUUUGUUAGGGAGCAAGGCAUUUUGUGUUGAGUGUACCUUUCGAAUAAGCACCGGCUAACUACGUGCCAGCAGCCGCGGUAAUACGUAGGGUGCAAGCGUUAUCCGGAAUUAUUGGGCGUAAAGGGCUCGUAGGCGGUUCGUCGCGUCCGGUGUGAAAGUCCAUCGCUUAACGGUGGAUCCGCGCCGGGUACGGGCGGGCUUGAGUGCGGUAGGGGAGACUGGAAUUCCCGGUGUAACGGUGGAAUGUGUAGAUA
rnacentral:rRNA from 1 species